UUGACCUACGGGACGCAGCAGUGAGGAAUAUUGGUCAAUGGCCGGAAGGCUGAACCAGCCAAGCCGCGUGAAGGACGAAGGUGCCAAGCAUUGUAAACUUCUUUUGUCAAGGGACAAAAUCAGGCUCGAGAGCCUGACCGAGGGUACUUGAAGAAAAAGCAUCGGCUAACUCCGUGCCAGCAGCCGCGGUAAUACGGAGGAUGCGAGCGUUAUCCGGAUUUAUUGGGUUUAAAGGGUGCGUAGGCGGAAUGCCAAGUCAGCGGUAAAAGCCCGGGGCUCAACCCCGGCGAGCCGUUGAAACUGGG
rnacentral:rRNA from 1 species